rnacentral:misc_RNA from 1 species
AACCAGGUGAAUUGGCAGGGAAUCAGGUGAAUCAAUAUCGAUUCACCAGAUUAUGUUCCUAUUGCUUUUGUAAGACCAAAAGGAUUUUAAACUAAAAUUUUAACUUUAUAUUAGUAUGAAAGAACUAUUAAAUUCUCCACCAAGUAAUAUGAAUUGAGAUUAAUGCUCAAAAAAUAAUUAAAAAAUAACUCUUCAGUUUUCACAUAUAGCAAACAAAAAACCAGAUGAGUCCUCAUACAUGA